CAAUAAGGAAGUGAUUGAGCUUUUUUUCUAAUACUACUGCUAUUGGAUUGCUAACCAAAAUACAUCUCAAGCUUUUUUAGAUGUUUGCUGCACAAUUACUUAUCCAAAUGCACAUGAAUUCUAUUUCUGUAGAAUUACAUAGCUACAUAAUAUUUUUAUUUGUCUUAAGCGGCAUUUUAUGUUAAAUAUCAAUCGCAUGCAUAUUUUAAUAGUCCGUAAGAUCGUCCAUAUUUAUGUUUAACAAUAUUUAAUAACAUUUCUUUAUACCUUUAGGUAGAGGGAGCAUAACGAGUUGGAAUCAAUCAAAAAAGCCUGUUAUCAAAACGGAACCUAGAGAUACCUCGCCACAGCCAUUUAAUUUAUAUCACGCGCAACAUGAAGUAACCCAAUCUCCGCAUUCACCAUUAUCACCGUGUUGUAAUUACAAUCAGCCGUCGCCAUACGGUGUGGUAUCUACAACAACUGCACUUCCGAUAAUUCCACAGGUGAUAGGACAGUACAAGACCAGCCCUAAUAGCGCUGGUGCCACCUGUCGACCAUCACCUAACAGCUUGCACGAGUACAAUGUAUUUAAUCAGCAAACUCAACACACAACAAGUAAUUUUACAGGCACGAGUCAAUGGGAAAGUAAAUUUAGCCCAAAUAUAAUAAAUAAUAAUGAGACGAUUGGAAAUGAUGCGACACAAUUUCGAAUAUAUAAUGCACUAACUGCAGGCCUCAGUAACGCUAAUGCAAAUAGAACAGAUGGCAAUUGCGUAGAAACGGUACCGCCUGCCAAUUGGCCUUUACCGCCGGUUAACUUGUAUGCGCAAAUGCAGCAUUAUCAAGCCAAUCCUGUCGUCGUCCCACCUUGUAAUGUUGAACAAAUGCAGACUAAUAAUAAUAACAAUCAAAACAAUCAUAACAACAGUGAGCA